rnacentral:rRNA from 1 species
GACGUAGGGCGCGAGCGUUGUCCGGAUUUAUUGGGCGUAAAGAGCUCGUAGGCGGCUUGUCGCGUCGAAUGUGAAAACUCGGGGCUCAACUCCGAGCUUGCAUUCGAUACGGGCAGGCUAGAGUUCGGUAGGGGAGACUGGAAUUCCUGGUGUAGCGGUGAAAUGCGCAGAUAUCAGGAGGAACACCAGUGGCGAAAGCGGCUUCCUGGUCCAGCACCGACGUUCAGGCACGAAAGCGUGGGGAGCAAACAGG